UACGUAGGGAGCUAGCGUUGUCCGGAAUCAUUGGGCGUAAAGGGCGCGUAGGUGGUUCUGUAUGUCUAUCGUGAAAGCGUACGGCUCAACCGUAUUUUGUCGGUAGAAACUGCAGGACUUGAGGCUGGGAGGGGCUGGUGGAAUUCCCUGUGUAGCGGUGAAAUGCGUAGAGAUGGGGGAGAACACUCGUGGCGAAGGCGGCCAGCUAGACCAGUUCUGACACUGAGGCGCGACAGCGUGGGGAGCAAACAGG
rnacentral:rRNA from 1 species